rnacentral:lncRNA from 1 species
GCAUGCAGGGGCCAUUGUGACAUAUAGCCAUGCCAAUUGCCUAGGUGAAGUUUGUCUCCUCUCUUGCCUAAGCCCUUUCUACAGCGGGGAUUUAGAUGUAUCACCGAAACAAGCCUCCAGGUGAUGUGACUCUUCUUCCAGAGUCCUGCCCACAAGGAGGAUUGUGACAUUUCACUGGACCAGCACCCACUCAGACUCUGCCAAAAGGGGAUUAUUACAUACUGCAGAGCCCAGCACCCAGGGCACAGCACCCGGAUGAUAUUACUCUUCUGCCCGGGUUCUUCAUAAAAAGAAAAUUAUGGCACAUUUCAUAUUGCUGGGCCCAGCACCCUUAUGAUGUGACUCUUCUGCCUGUGCUGGAGCCACCGAAGCCCCGCCAUCACUGGGCCAAAAUAACAAAGAGGAAAUGGAGGUUGUGCCUGAGCCUGCUCCUCCAAUAGACUGAAUAAAAGACAAGGGAUACACUACAGCUAUGGGACCCUGUCUUUGGCAAGUGGCAUUAGAAGGGGAGCUCUUACCCUGUCCGGUAAUGCAAGAUCAACAAGGCAAUCAGGUUCUCUUUGAAUUCCAGCAUGAUGCAUCGAACCGUACCAUGACAUGGCUAGGACCCAACCUGGUACCAGAAAUGAAGAAAAUGACCCUACAGGACCCACAGCCCUGGACGCUGUGGCUUCCUUGGACAACACAGGCCCCAGACAUUAUGCUGAAGAAGCAGAAGGCUUAGCAAAUCCUGCUCCAAGCCGAAAUACCUGUCACUCCAAAUAAUUUGUUCCAUUUUUAUUCUCUCACUCUGCCUACAACUGGUACCUGCUACACUCUAUUGGGCUCAUCUCUUAAAUCCAUCUUUCUUCUGCCCUGUUACUUAGACAAACACCCACUUCCCAGCUUCUAACAACGUGACGGCUUGGCUAAAAGGGAUUAAUAUACCUUCAGUGGGGUUCCGUAGCAAUGGCACACAUCAGACUAAGGUACCAGGUCACUCCUUGAUUGGAAAAUAAUGUUGCUAAUAAUACUCAUGUUUGUCUUAUGUUAUUUACUAAUUCUAGGAUGAAAAGCCAGAAUACAAGCAGUGACCACCACACCUGACAGACCUCUUGCUGCACAUAUCUGUACUCUCCAAUUAACAAAACCUGAUGCUAAAAACAGAAAAGAGGGGAGAUGUAGGAGAUUGGUCAGGGUGGUGGGAAAAAUUGUAGAAAGAUGAAACCUUGGAAGGCUGGAAGGUUUUACAAAAGCUUCAGAAUAGGAUUUGGCUGAAGGCAGCCAGAUUCUCUUAUCCUGUGCCUUAAAGCUUAAGUUAGAUAACAAGGGGAUAUAAAGAAACUGAUCUAGGUAAGUUAGUUUACUUAGGCCUUGGAACCUGGCCUUUAAUCAUCUGCAGGACUGCUCUCCAGGGAGGGCGACUAUGUUAAUUAUCCACAAGUGUGUUAACUCAAAGCCUUUGUUAUUAAAUUUAUACUGAAUAAAUGCCUGCAGUGCCAGCAUGUCAGGGCCAUGGCUGCUGACUCUUUAUGGCACCCUCCUCAGUGUAUGUAAGCUGCCUGGUCUGUUAGCUCGCUGUUUCACUGGAUAUCUGUGUCUGAGUGCAUUUCUUCAUCUGUCACUCGGUCAGUGUCUGUGGGUUGGACCAGGUAGGAACUGAAAACCAAACACCACAUGUUCUCACUCAUAAGUGGGAGUUGAACAAGGAGAACACAU